rnacentral:rRNA from 1 species
GGUUAAGCAAUUAAGCGUACAUGGUGGAUGCCUAGGCAAUCAGAGGCGAUGAAGGACGUGCUAAUCUGCGAAAAGCGUCGGGAAGGUGAUAUGAACCAUUAUAUCCGGCGAUAUCCGAAUGGGGAAACCCAGUGCAUUUACUGCACUAUUGUUUGAUAAAUUAAUAGUCAAAUAAAGCAAACCGAGGGAACUGAAACAUCUAAGUACCUCGAGGAAAAGAAAUCAAUUGAGAUUCCCUUAGUAGUGGCGAGCGAAAAGGGAAAAGCCCAGAGUAUAAAUUCAAUAUUAAUAUUAGAAAAACGGUCUGGAAAGUCCGGCGAUAAUAGGUGAUAGCCCCGUAUUUGAAAGUUUUAAUAUUGUAAACUCGAAGAGUAAGGCGGGACACGUGUUAUCCUGUUUGAAUAUAGGGGGACCAUCCUCUAAGGCUAAAUACUCCUGAUUGACCGAUAGUGAACUAGUACCGUGAGGGAAAGGCGAAAAGAACCCCGGCGAAGGGGAGUGAAAUAGAACCUAAAACCGUGUACGUACAAGCAGUAGGAGCAUUUAAAAAAUGUGACUGCGUACCUUUUGUAUAAUGGGUCAGCGAGUUAUAUUCUGUAGCAAGGUUAACUGUAUAAGGAAGCCGUAGGGAAACCGAGUCUUAACUGGGCGAAUAGUUGCAGGGUAUAGACCCGAAACCCGGUGAUCUAGCCAUGAGCAGGUUGAAGGUUAAGUAACAUUAACUGGAGGACCGAACCGACUAAUGUUGAAAAAUUAGCGGAUGACUUGUGGCUGGGGGUGAAAGACCAAUCAAACCGGGAGAUAGCUGGUUCUCCCCGAAAGCUAUUUAGGUAGCGCCUUGUGAAUUCAUUUUCGGGGGUAGAGCACUGUUUCGGUCAGGGGGUUAUCCAAAUCUACCAAUCCGAUGCAAACUACGAAUACCGAAAAAUGUUAUCACUGGAGACACACGGCGAGUGCUAACGUUCGUCGUGAAGAGGGAAACAACCCAGAUCGCCAGCUAAGGUCCCAAAGUCAUAAUUAAGUGGGAAACGAAGUGGGAUGUCUUAGACAGCCAGGAUGUUGGCUUAGAAGCAGCCAUCAUUUAAAGAAAGCGUAAUAGCUCACUGGUCGAGUCAGCCUGCGCGGAAAAUAUAACGGGGCUAAAAUUAUGCACCGAAGCUGCGACAAUAGAUGCUUUUUAGUUUUUUAAUAUUUAUUUAAUUUUAUUAAGUUUAAAGCAUUUGUUGGGUAGGGGAGCGUUCUGUAAAUCUGUGAAUGUAUCUUGUGAAGGAUACUGGAGAUAUCAGAAGUGCGAAUGCUGACAUAAGUAACGAUAAUGCAGGUGAAAAACCUGCACGCCGAAAGACUAAGGUUUCCUGUCCAACGUUAAUCGGGGCAGGGUGAGUCGACCCCUAAGGUGAGGCUGAAAAGCGUAAUCGAUGGAAGACAGGUUAAUAUUCCUGUACUGAUAAUAAUUGCGAUGGGGGGACGAAGAAGGCUAGGCUAGCCAGGUGACGGUUGUCUUGGUUUAAGAAUGUAGGUGAGUAAAUUAGGCAAAUCCGGUUUACUAUACACUAAGGUUUGAUGACGAGUUAUUAAAACUAACGAAGUAGUUAAUGCCACGCUUACAAGAAAAUCCUCUAAGCUAUAAAUUAUUAUUAAUCGUACUACAAACCGACACUGGUAGUCAGGUAGAGAAUACUUAGGCGCUUGAGAGAACUCGGGUGAAGGAACUAGGCAAAAUGGUGCCGUAACUUCGGGAGAAGGCACGCUAAUAUUAAGUGAAGUGAUUUACUCAUGGAGCUGAAGUUAGCCGCAGAUACCAGCUAGCUGCAACUGUUUAUUAAAAACACAGCACUGUGCAAACACGAAAGUGGACGUAUACGGUGUGACGCCUGCCCGGUGCUGGAAGGUUAAUUGAUGGGGUUAUCCGAAAGGAGAAGCUCUUGAUCGAAGCCCCAGUAAACGGCGGCCGUAACUAUAACGGUCCUAAGGUAGCGAAAUUCCUUGUCGGGUAAGUUCCGACCUGCACGAAUGGCGUAAUGAUGGCUAGGCUGUCUCCACCCGAGACUCAGUGAAAUUGAAAUCGCUGUGAAGAUGCAGUGUACCCGCGGCAAGACGGAAAGACCCCGUGAACCUUUACUAUAGCUUGACACUGAGCAUUGAGUUUUAAUGUGUAGGAUAGGUGGGAGGCUUUGAAAUACAAACGCUAGUUCGUAUUGAGCCGAUCUUGAAAUACCACCCUUUAAUAUUUGGUGUUCUAACGUAGUCCCAUAAGCUGGGGCGCAGACAGUGUCUGGUGGGUAGUUUGACUGGGGCGGUCUCCUCCUAAAGAGUAACGGAGGAGCACAAAGGUUGGCUAAGCAUGGUUGGAAAUCAUGCAGUUAGUGCAAAGGCAUAAGCCAGCUUGACUGUAAGAGUGACGGCUCGAGCAGGUACGAAAGUAGGUCUUAGUGAUCCGGUGGUUCUGAAUGGAAAGGCCAUCGCUCAACGGAUAAAAGGUACUCCGGGGAUAACAGGCUAAUACCGCCCAAGAGUUCAUAUCGACGGCGGUGUUUGGCACCUCGAUGUCGGCUCAUCACAUCCUGGGGCUGAAGUAGGUCCCAAGGGUACGGCUGUUCGCCGUUUAAAGUGGUACGCGAGCUGGGUUUAGAACGUCGUGAGACAGUUCGGUUCCUAUCUGCCGUGGGCGUUGGAAGAUUGAAAGGGGCUGCUUCUAGUACGAGAGGACCGAAGUGGACGCACCGCUGGUGUUCGGGUUGUCAUGCCAAUGGCAUUGCCCGGUAGCUACGUGCGGAAAAGAUAACCGCUGAAAGCAUCUAAGCGGGAAACUUGCCUUAAGAUGAGUCUUCCCGAUUUUUUAAAAGAGAUCCUAAAGGAACGUUUUAGACAAAGACGUUGAUAGGCUGGGUGUGUAAGCAUAGCGAUAUGUUAAGCUAACCAGUACUAAUGAACCGUGAGGCUUAACCUA